ACUCAGAUGUUCUGCACAUUUUCGCUAGAAAACCCCGCGAGAGGAGGAAUCCAGCAACGGUAUUUAGAUGAGAGUGGUGCCGGAAAUUAUCUGGGUCCU
rnacentral:SRP_RNA from 1 species